AUCUGUCUAUAAUUCAAGCCUGAGUUCUUUGUGCUGUUGUCUAGGUCUGAGUGAAUCUCAUUCCAGGGUUGGCGAUGCUGAGAUUCAGGCCACCACACAUCUAAUAAGGAGACUGACAACUCUCUACCAAAACAAAACAAAACACAAAAAUAUCCCAGCUUCUUGUGUUUCCGUUCUGUGGCAGACAGGAGAAAGCAGUUGACCCUAGAUAGUUCUAGACAACUCUGCCUGAAUCUUAAGUCACCCAGAUAGAUCAAAAACUCCCCAAACAGUAAGAGAUGACUUACUUUCCUUUGUGGUCCCUUGUUUGCCCAUGGGGAAGCCCUGGUUUGUGACAGCCACUAAAUCAGGCAACGUGUAACAUUGCUUUGAUUCACAUGGCAAAUCAAGGCGAAUGGCAGAGACGCCUAUUUUGGAGUCAAAACCUGGGUUCAAACAAGACCCAAUUCUUUACCUUCUAUAGCUCCGGGAACCACAUUCCCCACUUCCCACCCCACACUGAGCCUCGGUCGGUGUCUUGUGUGAAAUGGGGCUAAUGAUCGGUCUCUCUCAGGAACGAGGAAAGGAUGGGUGAGCUCAUCUGUGCGCAGUGUCAGGGCCGCGCAGAGCCUGCCUGGCACGUGCCGGGGACUCGGAAGCCAGGACUUGGUUCUUCAUGACUAUCACUGUCGUUAUUUGUGUCCCCUCCUACCUUACAGUGCGCAAACAGGAAAUUAUCAAAGUGACAGAGCAGCUGAUCGAAGCCAUAAGCAAUGGAGACUUUGAGUCCUACACGUGAGUUAGCCAGGCUCAUUCUGCAUGUUCGGCCUGGAUUGGGUUCAGGGGGGCGCUAUCCGUGGGUUUCUGAACCUACUCACUCUCUGCAUGCAAAUGAGGUGGGGCCCCUGUCUUUUCUGUUCCGCACUCGCCCGAACAGCAUACGUUACUUCCCUUCCGGUCACUCUUCCUGACAGCCUGAUUCCAGGAGGAGCUCUAAGUAAAGCUGGUUUGUUUGUCCCCAAGAAAUAAGGGUGUAGCACGGGGACGGAGGGAAUGGAGGCCGGUCCUUCUCCACCCUGCCCAGUGGGUCUGAGUCUUUGCCCUGGUUCUCCACAGGUCUUUGACCUCAGCUGAACGAGAACAGGCAGGAACCCAGAGAGUGUACACCUUUAGUGAUCAAGAAUGAGCAAAGUGGAACCUUAAACCCUCUGGGGAGUAAGGCACAAUCUCAAACCGAAUUAUUCACUGCUCACAAACCUGCUCCAGCCCCUGGAGAGGGAUGGCUGCGUGCAUACGCUGGGCUUCAGCGCCCCCUAGUGGUCACAACACCUUUCUGGUCUGGCCCAGGGAGAAUGGAUGCUCUCUGUUCAAUCCGUAGGCCUACGCAUUUUGACCAGGGCUAAUCGGGUCUGAACCUGGCAGUCCCACGCGUGCUUUUUGGUGGGUGGGGUUAAUGUGAGGUGGGAACAGCCUGCCGACACGGUCUCAGGCUGACCGAAGCUUCAAUGUACAUUCUAAGCACAGGAACUGAGUUCAGUCAUUGGAAAACCACUGGCUGUCUCUGGAGGAAUACGGUAUUUAAGAGGCACAUGUAUGAAGCCCAGGGUGCAAAGGUGUGCAGAUGCCUGUGGUGCCCUGGAAUUUAGCCUGGCAUGCCAAUGAAUUAGCCCCUUAAUCUCCCUGAACCUCAGUUUCUACAUUUGUAUGAUGCACUUAGAGAAGGUAGCCUUCCCGUCUCUUGCAGAGACCCCUGACAGCCCAUUCAGGAAGUUCUGCAGCAGGAAAACACUUGAGGUACCCUCAGAGGCUUUGCCUAUCUCGAGCAAGGCUGGGCCUGAUGUCCUGUUAGGAGAUUUCCAGUUCUAGUGUGAACCAGAAGCUUAGCCCGUGUAGGAACACUUCCUGUCCUUGUCUUCGCUAUGGCCACAGGGGUUUAUGUUGUACCACAAACUAUCCUCCAAGUAUGUCAAUGGGAGCUCUAUCUGUGUUCUUCCCCCACCUCCGAGGUCACCUCAGAAGUCUGACGCCUGGAAGAGGGGCAGUUAUCUGAAAACACAAGCUGACUUUUGCUGAGGCUCUCUCCUGCCACAUUCUCUGCUUCCUCUCUGACGUCACCUUCCCAAAGAUUCAUUAUUUUAUGUGGCUGGGUGUUUUGCCUGCAUGUUUGUCUGCCUCCCACCUGUGUGCCUGGUGCUUGUGGAGGCCAGAAGAGGGCCUGGAGUUGCAGAUGGUUGUGAGCCACCCCGAACCUAGGUCCUCUGGAAGAGCAACCAGCGCUUGUGACUGAUAAGCCAUCUCUCCAGCCGCAUAGAACUCAUCUUCUUUAAGGCUUUUUUUCCUCGUUUAAAGCAGAAGCAACAGUCAGGGUGUUCCAGACUGUGGACAUUUUUGCUCAAGUUAUU
rnacentral:lncRNA from 1 species